AUCGCUUCACGGCCUUUUGGCUGACAUUAAGUAUAAUAUCUGUUUUUAUCAGCUUAGUGUCUGAUACGUAGUCUAUAUGCUAUCCGACAAAAAUAUAUAAAAUGCAUUUAUGGAGUUGGAAGACUGAGUAGCAGCUUACCUUAUUCACUCCGUGCAGUAUCCUCGCGGGGUACAAUCUGUUUGCAAGGUGUGAGUAAAAAAUA
rnacentral:snRNA from 1 species